AGUGAACGCUGGCGGCGUGGCUUAGGCAUGCAAGUCGAGCGCGAAAGUACCUUCGGGUAUGAGUAGAGCGGCGUAAGGGUGAGUAAUGUAUAGGCAACGUACCCCUUGGACCGGGAUAGCUGCGGGAAACGUAGCAGGUAAUAACCGGAUGGUCAAGCGAUGUGGCAUCACGAUGCUUGUAAACGGUUGGAUACUUCUGCCGAGGGAGCGGCCUAUGCCCUAUUAGCUAGUUGGUGAGGUAAUGGCUCACCAAGGCAACGAUGGGUAGCCGGACUGAGAGGUUGGCCGGUCACACUGGGACUGAGACACUGCCCAGACUCCUACGGGAGGCUGCAGUCGAGAAUCUUCCGCAAUGGACGCAAGUCUGACGGGGCGACGCCGCGUGUAGGAUGAAGGCCCUCGGGUUGUAAACUACUGUUGCGCACUAGGAAAGUGUGAGGUUAAUAGCCUUGCACCUGACCAAUGCGUGAGGAAGCACUGGCUAACUCCGUG
rnacentral:rRNA from 1 species